rnacentral:rRNA from 1 species
CAGCAGCCACGGUAAUACCGAGGGUGCGAGCGUUAAUCGGAUUUACUGGGCGUAAAGCGUGCGUAGGCGGCUUUUUAAGUCGGAUGUGAAAUCCCUGAGCUUAACUUAGGAAUUGCAUUCGAUACUGGGAAGCUAGAGUAUGGGAGAGGAUGGUAGAAUUCCAGGUGUAGCGGUGAAAUGCGUAGAGAUCUGGAGGAAUACCGAUGGCGAAGGCAGCCAUCUGGCCUAAUACUGACGCUGAGGUACGAAAGCAUGGGGAGCAAACAGGAUUAGAUACCCCUGUAGUCCCUGUCUCUUAUAC